rnacentral:rRNA from 1 species
AGAGUUUGAUCAUGGCUCAGGAUGAACGCUAGCUACAGGCUUAACACAUGCAAGUCGAGGGGCAUCAUGGGGUUUGCUUGCAAACUCUGAUGGCGACCGGCGCACGGGUGAGUAACGCGUAUCCAACCUUCCCUAUAGUAGAGGAUAGCCCGGCGAAAGUCGGAUUAAUACUCUAUGUUUUCCGUUGCAGACAUCUAAGAUGGAACAAAGGCUUGCCGCUAUAGGAUGGGGAUGCGUCUGAUUAGGUAGUCGGCGGGGUAACGGCCCACCGAGCCAUCGAUCAGUAGGGGUUCUGAGAGGAAGGUCCCCCACAUUGGAACUGAGACACGGUCCAAACUCCUACGGGAGGCAGCAGUGAGGAAUAUUGGUCAAUGGGCGAGAGCCUGAACCAGCCAAGUAGCGUGCAGGAUGACGGCCCUAUGGGUUGUAAACUGCUUUUAUGCGGGGAUAAAGUUCACUACGUGUAGUGUUUUGCAGGUACCGCAUGAAUAAGGACCGGCUAAUUCCGUGCCAGCAGCCGCGGUAAUACGGAAGGUCCGGGCGUUAUCCGGAUUUAUUGGGUUUAAAGGGAGCGCAGGCCGGAGGUCAAGCGUGACGUGAAAUGUAGCCGCUCAACGGCUGAACUGCGUCGCGAACUGGCUUUCUUGAGUGAGUUCGAUGUGGGCGGAAUUCGUGGUGUAGCGGUGAAAUGCUUAGAUAUCACGAAGAACUCCGAUUGCGAAGGCAGCCCACAAGGCCUUUACUGACGCUAAAGCUCGAAGGUGCGGGUAUCGAACAGGAUUAGAUACCCUGGUAGUCCGCACGGUAAACGAUGGAUGCCCGCUGUUUGCGAUAUACUGUGAGCGGCCAAGAGAAAUCGUUAAGCAUCCCACCUGGGGAGUACGCCGGCAACGGUGAAACUCAAAGGAAUUGACGGGGGCCCGCACAAGCGGAGGAACAUGUGGUUUAAUUCGAUGAUACGCGAGGAACCUU